rnacentral:sRNA from 1 species
UCUGCGAAUCAUCUGAUUUAAUCGAGAAAAACAUGAACAACUUUUAACAAUGGAUCUCUAGGCUCUUGCAUCGAUGAAGAACGCAGUGAAGUGCGAAAAGUGAUGCGAUUUGCAUGCUCUGUGAGUCAUCGAAUUUUUGAACGCAUAUGGCACCUGCUAGUUUUACUAGGAGGUAUGCCUGUUUGAGAAUCGUCUUUAUCAAUCCUCUUUUGAUUCACUUCAGUUGAGGGACAUGGGUUGUCAUCAGUGACUGCCUUGAAUAUUCAAUGUGGUUGUGUUGUGAUAAUACUUGAUCGACCAACUACCGUCAUAUUUCAGCGAUCUCAAAUCAGGCAGGAUGACCCGCUGAACUUAA